rnacentral:rRNA from 1 species
CCGCUCAGAGGUAAACGGGUGGAGUUGAACUGCGAACCCUGAGAAUUCAACUGGUGAGUGUGGUAUGAGCUUGGCAUGAUGGUUGGCUCUGCGGGUCUGCUUAGCUGCAGGUCUUCGCCUUCUGGUGGAGAUGCGCGAUACACUUGCCAAGUGUUGCGCGCUCGUUGAGUUUCUCGGACAUGCUUGCCAGUGCACUUUCUCGGGGUGUUCACCACGACCGGCGCCGCUACUUGUCCAGUAUGGUUAAACCGGUCUUGCUUGGUCCUUGUGGCUUUGCUUGAUCGGGAUGGCAGGUAACUCGUUGACUUGUGUGUUGGCCUCGGUUGACAUGCGCUUGGUUUUCGAGUGUAAUCAGCUGACUGUAUUGGUGCUAUGUGGUGCGUCGGAGACGGCGGCUUGUGGUGUGUGCCUGCGUGCCUAUUUGCUGACGGAACCGGGUUUGGUUAUUAUGUUGCCUGUUCUGCAGGCCUGGUGAUGGCUCGGUUUCGCUUGGUGGAUGGGUGCGUGUGUGACACUUAUCAGGGCCUAUAGUCUGUGGUGUUGUGGUAGACUAUCCACCUGACCCGUCUUGAAACACGGACCAAGGAGAGUAACAUGUGCGCGAGUCAUGGGGUGUUACGAAACCCAAAGGCGAAGUGAAAGUAAAGACUUGACUUGUUCGAGUUGAGGUGAGAUCCUGUCGUUUCUCAUGCGCGGUACUUCCAAGCAUUCGAGCGAUGGGCGCAUCACCGGCCCGUCCCAUGGUGUGGUCACUGUCUUCGGAUUGGUGCGUCACCGGGGCGGAGCAUGAGCGCACAUGUUGAGACCCGAAAGAUGGUGAACUAUGCUUGCGCAGGUUGAAGCCAGAGGAAACUCUGGUGGAGGACCGUAGCGAUUCUGACGUGCAAAUCGAUCGUCAAACGUGAGUAUAGGGGCGAAAGACUAAUCG